UAAAUACUCCCUCCGUCCCAAAAUAAGUGACGUGUAUUUGUAUAGAUUCUUAUACAAAUUCACGUCACUUAUUUUGGGACGGAGGGAGUAGUAC
rfam:Brachypodium distachyon strain Bd21 chromosome 1, whole genome shotgun sequence.